GUCUCUUUGUUUCCCCUGAAUUGAAUUGAAAGAGUUGGAGGUUAGAAGUAGGAAGAUAAAGCGAAUAAAGAUAGAGAGCAAGUGGUUUCAGUUCUGGGGUUAAUGGUUAGGCCUCAUGAGACAGUAGUGGAAGAAUGGAGGUUCGAAAGUCAGAUGACAGAAUCGAUGGGUUGAAGGUGAAUAGGUGGUGGUGGUUGGAGUUGUAGGUUUGAUUCUGGUCGGAUUAGGGUUUCGCAAGGGCAGCGACGCCUGCGAAUUAUGUCAAUGAGGCUGAUUGCGGCAGUAGUAACGUUUUCCGAUACCAUAUGGUGUAGAAUACGGGCCUAUAAAGAAAAAGUGCACUUGAAGAUGAUUUUGAGGAAAAAGAAGAGGAUGAGCAACUCAUGGAUAUUGAUGUUGGGGGUCAUGAAAAGGAUUAUUAUUGUAGACCUAGCCUAUGAAGGUAAAGAGACCGAGGACGAGAUCAGAAACGUGACGACCAUAGACAUAGAAGGGGACCCGCACGAUACUCUGCCAUGAUCGCAUCAGAUUUAACCGAUUUGGUUAUUUCAAGUUUUAGCUGCAGGGCCACUAUGCCAUUUUCCAAG
rnacentral:lncRNA from 1 species